GCCACAGUAGCUCAGUGGUAGAGCACUCGAUUCGUAAUCGAGCGGUCAUCGGUUCAAUCCCGAUCUGUGGCU
rnacentral:tRNA from 1 species